rnacentral:lncRNA from 1 species
GCGAGUAGUUGGGAAUUUCAUCAUCAAGUAGUAAGUUGACACCACAGCUUGGAGAGAAUUUAGCUCAGGUCGGCCUAAUAUGGCAUUGUAGGCAGAUAGGAGUUUUAUAAUUAAAAAAUUUACUUCAAUAGUAGACUAUCUCGAAGCUCGUCCUAUCGUUAUAGGAAGGAAGACAGCUCCUUCUAUAGACACUAUGUUGCAGGAGAAUCCAAUAAGAGGAGAAUUCAACUUCUUUAGUUGCCCAGGA